CCUUGUGUUAGUCAGACUUUUGUCACUGUGACAAAAUACUUCAGAAAACUGACUUAAAGGAGACAAAAUUCAAUUUUGUCUUAUGGUUUCAGUGCAUGGUCACUUGCACCCAUACUUUGGGUCUGUGCCAUGGCAGAAGAACAUCAUGGUGAAGAGCAGGUGAUAUAGCGAAGCUGGUCAUCUUAUGAUAUCCAAGAAGCCAAGAGAAAGGCGGGGGUUGGGGGUGAGGAAGGGACCAGGAUCCUAAUAUGCCUUUCAAGGACAUGCCCCUAUAACCUAACUUCCUUCCAUCUUUUCCCAUCCCCUAAAGAUUCUAUCACCUUCCAAAAGUACACAGGCUGGUGACAACGCCUUUAGCCUAUGGUACUGUGGGGGUGUGUGUAAGAUCCAAACUGUAACACUACUGUUUACUUAUAUUUCCCCAUGGUUCAUCUAUGUCAUUAUCUUGCUGCCAUGUAUCUAUUAUCUUAUUGUUACAAAAGAUGACUGUUUAGGGCUGAGGAUAUAGCUCAGUUGGUAGAGUGCUUGCCUUUGAUCCCUAGCACCAAAAAACAAAACAAACUAACAAAAGAUGACUGUUUAUAGAGGGUUUACCUAUGUCUCAUUGAUAAUAUAGUAAGCAUUUAGAUUCAAACUCAAUUUUAUUGAUUUCAGGUGUACUUCUCUUAAUGCAGCACAGUAGGAUAUGAGAUUUGCUACAAUGAUAUUCUGCUUAAGAAUCACAAACUCUGAGUGGAUAAAGCAGCAGCAGCUGCAGCAGCAGCUGCAGCAGCAGCUAAAUCAGAUAAAAAAGAUCAGAAGAGGUCUGCAGCAGGCAAGAAACCUGUGAUAAAGAAUCUGGGAAAGAAGGCUGUUGGUGUUAAGGAGAAGAAGCCUGUGGGGGGAAAGGCUGCACCUGCCAAGAAACCAACAGCUGAAAAGAAACCUGUUGCAGAGAGAAAAAAAGUCUGCUGCAUAAAUUCUUAAAAAUCCGUUUGAUUCCAUAAGUUCAAAUAAUUUUGGACAGUUUAGUUUGAAUAAAGAGCUGAAUAAAGAUGCAGUGAAUAAAAAAAAGACAAAGUGACGCAGUAGUAAAAGGAUGGGUUUUGAAAUCAAACUCGGAUGUAAAUAUGGCUAUGCCACUCAUAAACUCUGUGAUCCUGAGAAAGUUAAUCUCAUUGAGUUUCAAUCAACUAAUCUAUAAAAGGAAGAUGAUGCUACUUACCUGUAGGGUUAUUGUGAUAAUAUAUGUAAGGUACAUGUAAUACACGUACUUACUCAGUUAAAUAUUUGCAGGGAUGAAUUUUUUAUUCAGACUUAUCUCCAACUAUUUAAUGAGCUCACAGUGUCAACAAUGGACUGGCUUCAUGACUGGUGGAUUUAAAUGUCAUGGACAGAAUCUAUUUCAAAAUCCUGUGUACUAUUCCUAUUUAUAAUGUCCCAUAAUUAUUUUGGUUAGUGCAAAGCCUACCUACCUUCCACAUGUUCAAAUCUUACCUUGUUCUUAGGCCUUGAAUAAUUUAAGUAUCUUUGUUCUCUGUCACCUCUAUCCCCAAAUCUACAUGGUACUAAUUUUAUGAUAUUGCCUUUUUCCUUAAAUAUUCCAUUUUCCCUUGACAAAAUUCUAGUUCAUGGUGGAUUAAAGACCCUUUUCUUAUAUUUUCUUCAUAAAUAUCUUAGCACUAGUAUAGUGUCUGACUCCUAGAAAAAUGCUAUUUCCUUAGUAAAUUAUUAGCAAAGGUCAUAUUUAUAUACAAGAUAAGCAACCUAAAAUUCAAACAAAUAUGAUAGAAAGUACUUUGUUUCCAUAUUAUUGCUGAAAUUGGGAAAUUUCAUAUUAAAAUUUCCUGAUUUAGAAAUGUUACAUCAUAGGGGUUGGGGGUGUGGCUCAAGUGGUAGUGCGUUCGCCUGGCAUGUGUGAGGCACUGGGUUCAAUCCUCAGCACCACAUAAAAAUAAAAUAAAGAUAUUGUGUCCACAUAAAAAAAUAAAUAUUAAAAUAUUAAAAAACAUUUUAAAAAAGUCACAUCAUGGUAAUGAUGAAUAAUUACAUUCAGUUUAAUAUAAUAAGUUUAUUAAAGCUAUUUGUGUAAAGAAGUAAGUAAUGAAAUAAUUAGAAAAAAUGAUUGGCAAAGAUAGUUUGAAAUCUGAUGUAGAGAAAAAUAUAUGUCAGUAUAAAAUACUUCUGAUACAUUUUUAAGUUGAUUUUAGUUUUUAUAGCAGUUUAUGUUCAAAGAAGAAUUAAUUGUAAAUAAAAAGGAUAUUUUUGUUUGUAAUGCAUAGAAACCUGUCCACUACACAAUAAGAUCACCUAAAAUAAAAGAUUCUGUCAUAUAUGUACUCCAGUAUUCUGGAUCAUGUUUUAGCAGCACAUUUACUAAAAAGUGCCUUCACCUUCAUUUCCAUUCUUUAGUAAACACAGAAUCUCAUCAUUAUAUAAUGAGGUUAUAAUGAGGCUAGAACUAAUAGUCUAUAAAAAGAUGAGUUCCUUAGGAACUCUGCCCCAAAAUGUCACAUAUAGAGAAAGGUGGCUGACACCCAGUUUUAAUGUUAUUACAGGAAUUAGUAUAACACCCCAUGGAAUACACAUACAAAACCUGAAACACUGUUAUGCUUAUAAGUGGGCUAUGGAGACAUGGUUCCUGACUGUACACAUAUAAUACCUUCUGUGUAUGUUUAGACCUAAAACUUGGCACUGGAAGAAAUGAGCUCCAGACUCCAACCUCUAUCCUAUAACAACUCUGGUGCUUUCAUUCCGCACUAAUGCAAG
rnacentral:lncRNA from 1 species